CCGUACACAAAAAUGCACAUAUUGUGAGCUUGAUGAGUAGGGCGGGACACGUGGUAUCCUGUCUGAAUAUGGGGGGACCAUCCUCCAAGGCUAAAUACUCCUGACUGACCGAUAGUGAACCAGUACCGUGAGGGAAAGGCGAAAAGAACCCCGGCGAGGGGAGUGAAAAAGAACCUGAAACCGUGUACGUACAAGCAGUGGGAGCACGCUUAGGCGUGUGACUGCGUACCUUUUGUAUAAUGGGUCAGCGACUUAUAUUCUGUAGCAAGGUUAACCGAAUAGGGGAGCCGAAGGGAAACCGAGUCUUAACUGGGCGUUAAGUUGCAGGGUAUAGACCCGAAACCCGGUGAUCUAGCCAUGGGCAGGUUGAAGGUUGGGUAACACUAACUGGAGGACCGAACCGACUAAUGUUGAAAAAUUAGCGGAUGACUUGUGGCUGGGGGUGAAAGGCCAAUCAAACCGGGAGAUAGCUGGUUCUCCCCGAAAGCUAUUUAGGUAGCGCCUCGUGAAUUCAUCUCCGGGGGUAGAGCACUGUUUCGGCA
rnacentral:rRNA from 1 species